rnacentral:rRNA from 1 species
GACGAACGCUGGCGGCGUGCUUAACACAUGCAAGUCGAACGGAAAGGCCCUGCUUUUGUGGGGUGCUCGAGUGGCGAACGGGUGAGUAACACGUGAGUAACCUGCCCUUGACUUUGGGAUAACUUCAGGAAACUGGGGCUAAUACCGGAUAGGAGCUCCUGCUGCAUGGUGGGGGUUGGAAAGUUUCGGCGGUUGGGGAUGGACUCGCGGCUUAUCAGCUUGUUGGUGGGGUAGUGGCUUACCAAGGCUUUGACGGGUAGCCGGCCUGAGAGGGUGACCGGCCACAUUGGUACUGAGAUACGGACCAGUCUCCUACGGGAGGCAGCAGUGGGGAAUAUUGCACAAUGGGCGGAAGCCUGAUGCAGCAACGCCGCGUGCGGGAUGACGGCCUUCGGGUUGUAAACCGCUUUCGCCUGUGACGAAGCGUGAGUGACGGUAAUGGGUAAAUAAGCACCGGCUAACUACGUG